rnacentral:rRNA from 1 species
AUUGAACGCUGGCGGCAUGCCUUACACAAUGCAAGUCGAGCGGCAGCGCGGGGGCAACCCUGGCGGCGAGCGGCGGACGGGUGAGUAAUACAUCGGAACGUGUCCUUUCGUGGGGGAUAACCGAGUCGAAAGAUUGGCUAAUACCGCAUGAGAUCGCAAGGUGAAAGCGAGGGACCCGAGGGUAACUUCGGGCCUCGCGCGAUUGGAGCGGCCGAUGUCGGAUUAGCUAGNGGCGGGUAAAGCCCACCAAGGCUACGAUCCGUAGCUGGUUUGAGAGAACGACAGCACACUGGGACUGAGACACGGCCCAGACUCCUACGGGAGGCAGCAGUGGGGAAUUUUGGAACAAUGGGCGCAAGCCUGAUCCAGCCA